UACGUAGGGUGCAAGCGUUGUCCGGAAUUAUUGGGCGUAAAGAGCUCGUAGGCGGUCUGUCGCGUCUGCUGUGAAAACCCGCAGCUCAACUGUGGGCUUGCAGCCGAUACGGGCGGGCUGGGAUUCGGUAGGGGAGACUGGAAUUCCUGGUGUAGCGGUGAAAUGCGCAGAUAUCAGGAGGAACACCGGUGGCGAAGGCGGAUCUCUGGGCCGAUAUUGACGCUGAGGAGCGAAAGCGUGGGGAGCGAACAGG
rnacentral:rRNA from 1 species